rnacentral:misc_RNA from 1 species
CAAUUCUGAGCAGUCCGAGAUCUGAAGUGAUUUAACUUGAAAAGGCAAUUUUCCUGUUGGAGGGGAUGUUAAAGAUGGACAACCAAUGAUCUCCACGUGUUCUAGAUGAGACAUGUUAACCUUGUUCAUUAAUCCCUCAGGCAGAGACCGGAGUUUUGUACAGAAUCGGAUUUUCAACACUUUCAGCGUCAUGGGUAACUCGCCUUCUGGAAAGCACUCAAGCGAAGGACCCUCUUCAAUCUCCAAUUCUUCAAGAAGAC